rnacentral:lncRNA from 1 species
GGGUGUGGGAAAAUAAGCGUGGACGGGUAAACAUGGACGGCUAUUUGUGGACGAGUAAAAUUAUGAUGAAAAUUCAAAAUUCAGCAUACUAUAUAUCUCAUGGUGGAGGACUAUGACGAGCUCGAACCACCGCAGCUUCACCAAGCUCAUCCACGACGAUGUUGAGCUCGGAAUCCAUGGUGUGGCUCACCGGGAAGAGGAGCUGACUCGUUUUGACCGGGAGUUUUGGAGGAGGAGAUGACUCGUUUUAACUUUUUGGUUUGUUUAGC